AGCUAGAAGUAUGUGCCACUGUCUUCUGAUGUACAGAUAAAUGUGGUAAUCUCUUUCAGUUGUCCAGAGUGAUUGGUCAAUAAGAUCAAGCCACUGUGCCAGGCUUAUCCCUUCAGUUCCUCCUCAGCUGGUCAGGCUUGGACAUGGGAUGGACUCGCUGAUCAGGAGAAGAGGCAUGACCCUGUAACACAAGCUAGCCAGAGGCUGGUGGUUAAAAGAGGAAACUAAUGCAAACUGCUUAUCAUUGACGGGCAGGUAACCUUAGAAAUUGGGUGAACUCACCCGUGUGAGCUGUGUGAGAAAUAAGGCCAUGCUCUCUGUUAACCUGCUUUAAUCUCCUUCAGGGCACUGCAAUUUAUCAUCCUCCCAGAGUCAAAGCCCUUCUCAGUACAGACGAAUGGGCUGAAGUUUCAUAGCCAGGAUCCUUGGGACACAAGUGUUCAGGAAUAUCCACUAUUAUAUUCCCAGCAAUCUGGUGGUCAUCAGUGCCUUGCUGAUAAACUGGAAAUCCUCACCUUCUUCUAUCCUCACCUCUCAAAUGACCCAUGAAAGAGUCUUGGAGAUCAAAGAAAUCCUCUUCCAUCCUUAUCCUUCGGACAGAAAAACUGAUGGGAUUUAGCACCCAUG
rnacentral:lncRNA from 1 species